CUUUUUUCGAGAUGGGGCCAAGAUGGGCCUAAGAGGGUGGGUGCACCAACUGUAAUUUCUUGUCUAUGCUUAUUAUUCACCAAUAUAUAUAUAUUUUUUCUGUGUGCAUGGUUCUAUAAUCAGGGAAGGAGGAGGGAACAUUUGUCAAGCCAGGUGUUCUCCAUAAACUAUCUCAUUAAAUAUAUUUCACACUUUCAGGAAGGCCCUAUUAUUAUUCCGGGGUUUGGAGGAAGAUCUGAAGUUUUGGAAGUUGCACAGCUUGCAUAGACACACAGUGGUGGAGCUGGGAGUCAAAUCCUGGUUCUGUGAGGACAAUCCUGAAAUUCUGUCUUAGGUUGUUCAGAACAAAAAUGUCACACAAGAAUAUGCAUUGCUGUUUCAAUGUACCCAGCCCUCUGUUAUCACCAUGAGAAGGACAUGCCCAAAUGAGUGUGUUGGAGGAUAAGACAGGUGGAACAGAGCCACAUCACCACAGCAAAUUAUUGAAGCCACUGUGUAUCAUCCAACAGCCAGCUGAUCCCAAAAUAGAUACUUCUCAGGGCUAAAAGGGGAGAAGCUGGAAAAGAAGUACUAGAAAGUCCACUAAAAUCAGCAAAUAGCUAAUUUUGACUCCUCAUGUAUCCUUUCAGCUGGGCCAG